rnacentral:misc_RNA from 1 species
AAAUGUCCGUUAGAUUUCAUUAGUUUACAAUUUAAUAACAUCUAAUACAAACAAAAUAAUUAGACAUUACUAUUCUUCUUUAUAUAAGCAGUUCCAAUUUCAUUCUCUACGGUACAUCUUCAGUUAGUGGUUAUAUUCCCAGAAAUUAUAAAUUUGAAAUCAACCAGUAAGCAAGUAAAUGCAAGGACUUGGUCCUUAUCAACCAAGAUUGAUGAAAAUAAAAAAUCAGAUUCAAAAAAAUCUCAUCCUACAGUUUUGGACCCACAUCCCCACGAAAAAAAAAA